ensembl:lncRNA
AACACACAUCUGGGUGAGUAAUUGUCUGAAUCACUGAACACUCACCAGUUAUUUAAAGAGUUGCUUCACUGGAUUUCAUCAUAGUUCCCAUCCUCCACAUUCUCUCUCUCUAUCUCUAUCUCUCUCUCUCUCUCUCUGUCCAAACAUGAAUAUACUACAUGCAUAUACAUUUGCACAUAAUUUGGAAGUCACAAAAAUGUUUAGGUUCUCUCCGUGACAGUGGGAGAGGUUGUAGCAAGCUAAGCUUAGCAAUGUUUCAGUAUGGUGUUAUAAUGUUUCAGUAUGGUGUUAUGAUGUUUCAGUAUGGUGUUAUAAUGUUUCAGUAUGGUGUUAUAAUGUUUCAGUAUGGUGUUAUGAUGUUUCAGUAUGGUGUUAUAAUGUUUCAGUAUGGUGUUAUAAUGUUUCAGUAUGGUGUUAUGUUUCAGUAUGGUGUUAUGAUGUUUCAGUAUGAACAACAGGCCCGACUCAUUAUUUCCACAUGGUUGUCUCUGCUCACCUAUGGGGAUGACGGCAGGUAGGUGGGUGUGGCUCGCAGGA